rnacentral:rRNA from 1 species
GAUCAUGGCUCAGAACGAACGCUGGCGGCAGGCCUAACACAUGCAAGUCGAGCGCCCCGCAAGGGGAGCGGCGGACGGGUGAGUAACGCGUGGGAACGUGCCUCUUGCUACGGAAUAGCCUCGGGAAACUGGGAGUAAUACCGUAUGUGCCCUACGGGGGAAAGAUUUAUCGGCAAGAGAUCGGCCCGCGUUGGAUUAGGUAGUUGGUGGGGUAAUGGCCUACCAAGCCGACGAUCCAUAGCUGGUUUGAGAGGAUGAUCAGCCACACUGGGACUGAGACACGGCCCAGACUCCUACGGGAGGCAGCAGUGGGGAAUCUUAGACAAUGGGCGCAAGCCUGAUCUAGCCAUGCCGCGUGAGCGAUGAAGGCCUUAGGGUUGUAAAGCUCUUUCAGUGGGGAAGAUAAUGACUGUACCCACAGAAGAAGCCCCGGCUAACUCCGUG